UACGGAAGGCAGCAGUGGGGAAUAUUGCACAAUGGGCGCAAGCCUGAUGCAGCCAUGCCGCGUGUAUGAAGAAGGCCUUCGGGUUGUAAAGUACUUUCAGUCGUGAGGAAGGUGUUAAGGUUAAUAACCUUAGCAAUUGACGUUAGCGACAGAAGAAGCACCGGCUAACUCCGUGCCAGCAGCCGCGGUAAUACGGAGGGUGCGAGCGUUAAUCGGAAUUACUGGGCGUAAAGGGCACGCAGGCGGUUAAUUAAGUUGGAUGUGAAAUCCCCGGGCUUAAACCUGGGAAUGGCAUUCAAGACUGGUUUAGCUAGAGUCUUGUAGAGGGGGUAGAAUUCCAUGUGUAGCGGUGAAAUGCGUAGAGAUGUGGAGGAAUACCGGUGGCGAAGGCGGCCCCUGGACAAAGACUGACGCUCAUGUGCGAAAGCGUGGGGAGCAAACAGGAUUAGAUACC
rnacentral:rRNA from 1 species